GACGAACGCUGGCGGCGUGCCUAAUACAUGCAAGUCGAACGCUGAAGGCGGAGCUUGCUUCUCUGGAUGAGUUGCGAACGGGUGAGUAACGCGUAGGUAACCUGCCUCGUAGCGGGGGAUAACUAUUGGAAACGAUAGCUAAUACCGCAUAAGAGUAGAUGUUGCAUGACAUUUGCUUAAAAGGUUCACUUGCAUCACUACCAGAUGCAUCUCCGUUGUAUUAGCUAGGUGGUGGGGUAACGGCUUACCAAGGCGACGAUACAUAGCCGACCUGAGAGGGUGAUAGGCAACACUGGGACUGGGACACGGCCCAGCAUCCUGCGGGAGGCACAAGUCGGGGACCUUCGGGAAUGGAAGGAAGUCUGAACGAGGAACGCCGGGUGAGAGAAGAAGGUAUUCGGGUCGUAAAGGUCUGUUGUAAGAGAAGAACGAGUGGGAGAGUGGAAAGUGCACACUGUGACGGUAUCUGACCAGAAAGGGACGGCUAACUACGUG
rnacentral:rRNA from 1 species